CAGCUGACUCCAAGUGGAGCAAAGCCCAGGUCUUGACAUAGAUACAGAUAACAUACACGCCCAGAUGAUGUCACAAUCAGCUGUAUCUAAACAGAGCAGAGCUCAGGUGACAUCACAGAACAGGCAGAGGCAGUUCAGGGGUAUUCUGGUUGCCUUACCCAGCUCUGAAGUCUGUCAGCCUCUUCAGAUGUCACUUGCCAUGUGGUAAGGAAGUGUAGUCAGCAGCUGGUGCAGUGGGAAGAAGAGAAAGGAAGUUCCCCAAGACAAAAACAUCUCGGCAGACCGUGAUCAUGGGCUACAUUCUCCGUACCAGCUUCAUAGCUCCAGUGAGAAAAUAAAUUCCUGCAUCCAGGAGAUGUGGAGUAAGAGAUACAGCUGCCCUUGACCAUAUUUCUUACUUCCGAGAAGAUCGUAGCAGUAAUUCAGAAUCUCAUCCAGGAUACCUCAUCAC
rnacentral:lncRNA from 10 species